GGCCUCGUGGCCCAAUGGCAAGGCGUCUGACUACGAGGAAUGUCUAGUCCGAUAAAUCACUUCGGAAAUGGAUAAGUUCAUGGUAAUCAGGAGAUUCUGGGUUCGACCCCCAGCGAGGUCA